rnacentral:piRNA from 1 species
UCACAACUUAAAUGACAGUAUCGUAAAGGCC